rnacentral:sRNA from 1 species
UAUAUUUGUGAAUAUAUAUAAUCUUCUUGGCUGGCCUAUAUGUUACUUGUAUGUAUAGAACUUGUAUGUACAGGUGCCUGUGAGAUUCCUCACUAGGAAGAAAGCAUUUAUCCCUCAACCCUGAAGACAGGAACUUUGAACCUGUGAUAGAAGGAGAAAACUAUCUCCUGAGAGUUGCCUUUUGACCGCCACACCUCACAAUAAUAGAUAAUGUACCCUUAAAAUAAAACUGGUUCUUAAAAUUAUACUAAAAAUGAAGUCAGUCAAUUUAUCUAGUAAGUACAAAGAUAUGUUGUACAUUUUCAAGUGAUUAUCAUAAUGAGCUGGAGCUAAGCAAACAUAAAUGAUUAUAUUCUUGAUGUAUUUGCUUCAGAGCUUAGUGCUACCUGUGACACUGAUUUUAUAGUCUAAUUCUACUUAAAGCAUUAACAGACAUUUAUUUUGUUAGUAAACCUCAAGUCAAGGUUUAUUUUUCUAUAGGCUAGAGUGCUGCUUUAAAUUUUCCAUCACUCUUUGCCCCGCUGAUAGAACUUUCAUUCUAAGUCUCAAAGGUCUUAUUAUAUUUGGAAAUUUUUCUUUUUUGUGUGAGAUAAAUAUCAGAGUCUCUUAUUUACACACAUCUACUGCUUCUCACAUUUAACUGCAAAUAUAAGAUUAGCAAGCUUGCGAUGGUGUCCGGGUUGCCACUGAGGUUUGGGUAGCCUGCAGGGCCGCUUUGUUCUGUGAAAAGACUGGGCAGUGACGUCAGAGAGCUAGAGGUGACUAGAGGACGUUAACCAUGUUGUCCUUCACUGACCUCUGACCUCUGAAUCUGAUGACUCAGGCAGGCUAAUCACAUGUAGGAGAUGGUCACAUGGUGCUAAAUUAAGACUCAUCAUACGAUCAGCUCUUCCAGGGCCCAGCCCAGCACACUUCUGCUUCAGCCAGUCCUUUGGUUGCAAAGCCUCACAAGCGUUUAGGGUCAAGGGAUGUUGCUAGCUCCCUGCUUGCAACAGCUCUGGUAAAAGCUAUGCCUCUGGUAGUUUUCCCUGGACGGCACCUGGCUCCUGGGCGUCCAUGGAGCAGAUCUAUGCAGAGAUCAAAGGACUCAGGCUCAGAGCAGCUCUGAGGAUGAGAGUUACACUGAUAGUCUGUUUUCUUCACCCAACCCGCUCUGGCUGGUGUGUUUUCUACUUUGGUGGCUUAAAGAAGUCACAGGAAGGAAGUGACAGCCAAGGAAAAAAAAUCAUUUCCUCAUAGGAAAACAAGACUUCCUUAACAGAGCAAUCACAACGUUGUGAAGGACCACACAGUAAAUUCUGAGCCGAGUGUCACUUUACGAGUGAGUUUGUACAGCAUCCACUCACCUUCCUAACAUUCCUCGGACAGUGUCACUGGGACAGAUAUGGAGAUGGAGGGUGUGGAGUGAGGCCAUGUCUCCUAGGUCUAAUGCUAGAAAGUACUCCAGGCAUUCAAACUCUGGUUGGCAACCCCAAAGCCAAGCUUUGGCCACUAAGCAGUCAAUGCAUGUGAUACUCUGAAUGAACCCAGAGUUUAAUGUUAACCCUGUGUUUCCUGACUAUAAAAGCCAUAUGUACUCAUUACUAAAAAUUUAAUAUGGCAAAAAACAAAUCAGGCACAAUUUCUCUGCGUGAAGUUUGCCGUGCACUUCAUCCACUCCCGUGGCACUGGGGAUGGGAUGUGGGGUCUCCUGCAAGGUAGGGGAGUGCUCUAGCACUGAGCUAUACCCUGCCCCCAAGUCCUUUUCAGUAUUUUUCUGUGACUGAGUUUUGUAGAAGGCUCUGGGUCCUUGCGCUUGUGGUAAGUAUUUUGCAUUGAGAUACAUAACUGCUUUUUAAUGUUUAUUUGUUAUAUAUGUGCAUGCAUACAUGCAUGCCAUGGCCCACCUAUGAAGGUUAGAGGUCAACUUGUAAGAGUUGACUAUGUCGCUCUCUCUCUCUGUGGGUUCAUUUAGCAAGCCUGUGAAGCCUGGCUAUUAUAGAAUACAUGUUGUCUAUGGUGGUUUGGAUUUGCCACAUUUUUCAUUGGAAAACAUUUAUAGUUUCAAUUUUGGAUUAUUCAUUGAUAAUAUAUAGAAAUACUAUUGACUUUGGUAUGGUAAAGUUUUAUUCUGCAACUUUAUUGAUCCUUUAAUGUUGUGGUAGUUUCAUAUGUGUGUAUGUUCAUGCACAUGUGUACUCAUGUACAAUCAUUCCUUCGGUUUCACAUACAAGGUCAUAAAUCUAUGAUGAUUUUUUUUUAAAGUUUCUCAUCACAACACUUUUUUUUUUUGUCUUCCCUAAACUGCCUGGAACGAAGCAUAUGGAAGUGGCAAAAGUUGGCCUUGCUGCAUUAGGCCCAGUCUGACAAGGAGAAAAAUGUAGUGUUUUACCAUUGUGUGGGCAUGUGUGCGCACAUGGGUGUGUGUUUUUCUUUCCUCCAACAUGAAAUCAACUUUCCUACUUGGCCGCUGUCAUAGACUCCCAACCAUCACAAGGUUGAGGACCACAAGGGCCUUCUGCCUUCUGGAAAAGCAUUGCCAUGUGCUAGAGCCAGGGGGACAACACCAGAGACUUCUACCAAUCUCAGCGACGUUCAAUCAUUUCUCUUGAAGGUAUUCUUUUCACAUUUGUUGUAUGGCCCUGGUCAAUGUACAGGAUAUUAAGGUGGUUGUUUUUGAUAACUGUAUCCAUUGUAUAUGUUUUGGAGAAGGUUUGCCAUUCUUUGUACAGAUAGCCCAGGCAGUAAGUCUCCGUAAGAAUGAAGACCCAAGUUUGAUUUCCAGCCCCCGUAUGGAAAGCAGGACAUGGUGGUAAACAUGUGCAAUCCCAGCUCUAGGGAGGCUGAGACAGGUGGCUCCUUGGUACUCGUUGGGUAGCCCUGGGUCCUAGUGAAAGACUGUCUUAAAAACACAAGCCUUGCUGCUGAAUGAUGUGUUUGAUAGGCAUGAGAGCUGGUGGAUAUUAGUCGCAUCCUCUCUCUGGAAGCACGCAUGGUCCUUCCUGAUACCAUGGAAGCUCCUCCUCAGGGAGGAGGCUCUCAGGUCAGUCCACCUCAGGAGCAUCUGGGCCCUGUCUGAAGUGCGUGGUAUCUUCAGCAAUAGGGACAACUCUUCCAUCUCUGGGAGGUGGCCAAGGGCAGCAGGAAUAGGCUGUGUUCAGGGGUUCUCUUGACAGUUUUGGAUAACUACUCAAAAGAGGACUUCUCAUGUCUGGUAUCAGGGUUUCUGUUAGGAGAACUUUGACUCUUGGGUCACUACCAGCCCAGAACCUGAAGGAUGACAGACAUACGUUAGUGACAACCGUCAGCUGUCUAAUCGGACUUAAGGCCCACUCAAUAAAGGGGAAGUUCUCUCUGGUACUAGAAACCCAGCUAACUUCUCAGUGCUUGCGAAUGCAUGGUUAGUGGAAAAGACUUUAUAACCACUAACUUAGUAAACCAGCAUAAGUGCUAGCAAUCUACAAAUAUUUGUUCUUAUACCCUCAGAUCAAUCUAGGGUUUCAUUAACCCCUUAUCAGUGAAACUCUGCUUUGCAACAGAGAGCACAAUAAAAACCACAGCCAAUCACAAUGCAGAGUGGUGAAGCCUACUCCCCUUAGAGAGCACAAUAAAAACCACAGCCAAUCACAAUGCAGAGUGGUGAAGCCUACUCCCCUUAGAGAGCACAAUAAAAACCACAGCCAAUCACAAUGCAGAGUGGUGAAGCCUACUCCCCUUAGAGAGCACAAUAAAAACCACAGCCAAUCACAGUGCAGAGUGGUGAAGCCUACUCCCCUUGGAUACGUGUACAAACAGUCCUGUACCUCGUGUUCAGGGGACAUUGCCGAUGACGGGACAGGAAGACUGGAGGAGCCACAAGACUAGAGUUUACUGUGAGGUUCUGUUUCCUAGUAACAUUAGGAGCCACGCCCAUGAAGUCUCACCAGCAUAUCUGCCCAAAUGUGAACUGAACCGGGAUGACUCCAGUGGCCAUGGCUGAAGUGGAAAGAAGAAAGCCCACGAAGUCUCAACCUUAUGACAAACCAGAGGCAGCCGAGAAAUGCUGGGAGUGAGAGUGGGCGUCUUCCGCAGGGCAUGAGCAAGUUUUCAGGGAGAAAAGGCAAGGGGGAAACUUUGUGAUCCCAAAAACCUUUUUAAAAGUAAGAACAAGGGCUGAAAGAUAGCUCAGUGGUUAAGAGCACUGCUCUUCCAGAGGUUUUGAGGUCAGUUCCCAGCCAACCAGAGGGUGGCUCAUAACCAUCUGUAAGGGGAUCCCUGUCCUGGUGUGUCAGAAGAGAGCAACAGUGUGCUCACAUACAUACAAUAAAUAGGUAAUCUUUAAAAAAGAAAGUAAAAUCAAAGCCAACAUCAAGUCAGGUGACCUGAAUUCAGAAACAGAUGCAAAGAGACCCUAUUCUACGAGGUGUGGUAGUGUGACCAUACACAAACUGAGACACACAAAAUAAAUAGAAUGUCACAAAGGGUUAAAAGGAAAAUAAAACCAAAUCACAAGGAGCUCCUUAGGACCCAUGCUCGAGUCUUGGCCUCCACAUGCAAGCACACGUGUAUAGCUGCACACGUGUAUACACACAAACACACCCACUCAAGUUAGUUUCUUUAGAAAUAUAUCCCUCCAAGUGUUCGUAGUUCAGUUGUUUCUAGUUAUUUCCGAUUCAGGCAAAACUCGAGCCCUCGUUGGGGAGAACGCCUGUGGUGAGACGGGUCCGCUCCCUGUCCUUUACACUGUAGUCACACAUCUUAGACAUCUACACAUGGCUGCCACGGUUUGGGUUAAAUAGCCAUGGGGCCUGCAGGAAUGCCAUCAGGAGAGAGAGAAAGUUCUAGUAAGCAUACUUGACUUGUGUUCUGCAUCUGUGAACAGUGCUUUUUUCUUCAAGCUUAGGAGUCUCCCAACAACAAAGAAAGUCUCUGUAUCUUAUGGGGAGUACCUAGAAGAGUGUGUCUAGUCUUUUCAUUGUGUAAAGCGUGCAGAUAGUAAUUUGGGUAAAGGUACUGUGUAUACACAUCCUGACCCAUGUACACACAAAACACCUUCAUCCUUUGCAAUCUUACUUCCCGAACUUACGUACCUUCUACCACGGGAGAAAUCGCACCUCUCCAACCACGGGCUUUCACAGCUACAUGACCAUUAGUCACCACCGUCUCCCAGAAGCACGUAUUUCCUGACUAUUCAGUAUAUAGCACUAUAACUGGGCACAGCUUUUUAGGUUGGGUAUCUGUUUAGAGAAGAUUGUUUUAUUUUUUUUAGUGAAUAGAUAUAGUCUCCAUGUCAUCUUUUGGAAUACAUCGUUUUUUUUCUUUUGCCCUAACGUUAUCUCUUGGUGAGGAAUACUGCUAAUUUUAUGUUAUAUAUGUAUAUGUGUUAAUAUUAUGCGAUGGAAAUGCUAUUUUAUGCUAUGUGGCUCUACCACAUUUAUCUAUUUUGGAAACUUAAUUUUUAGCAUCUAGAGAAUGUGUUUGUCUAACUUGCCAAGAAUAGGCGCUCCAGGCUCUUGUUUUAUUCAUUGUCUGUGAGAGCUCUUAGCUUAUCUCUGUUUUAAACACGAACCACGCUUCGACGCAGGGUCUCCACACUGGACAUUCCACCUGGCAACAGCCCAGUCUCUUUUUCUUAAUUUAUGUGAAAUUGGUAAACUUUACAUUUGUGUACAACUUUGAAACAGUAUCGUCUGUAGCCCAGGCUGGCCUCCAGUACACUGCAGUCUUCCUGCCUCAGCCUCCCAAAUGCUAGAAAAUAAGUCCUGAGUGCCCAUUCUGGUUAGGUUGCAGAAGUCAUAGCAAAGUUGUCUGUACUGAUCACUUUUCUGUACUUGUAGAUAAAUUGUUACUUGGCGGUGCGUUCACACCCUUGUUUAUUGACCCCUCAUAGAAUGUAGCAGGGUGACUUACACCUGAGGUAAAAAUAGCUCCAGGGAAA